rnacentral:rRNA from 1 species
GAUGAACGCUGGCGGCGUGCCUAAUACAUGCAAGUCGAGCGAACGGACGAGAAGCUUGCUUCUCUGAUGUUAGCGGCGGACGGGUGAGUAACACGUGGAUAACCUACCUAUAAGACUGGGAUAACUUCGGGAAACCGGAGCUAAUACCGGAUAAUAUUUUGAACCGCAUGGUUCAAAAGUGAAAGACGGUCUUGCUGUCACUUAUAGAUGGAUCCGCGCUGCAUUAGCUAGUUGGUAAGGUAACGGCUUACCAAGGCAACGAUGCAUAGCCGACCUGAGAGGGUGGUCGGCCACACUAGAACUGAGACAGGGUCCAGACUCCUACGGGAGGCAGCAGUAGGGAAUCUUCCGCAAUGGGCGAAAGCCUGACGGAGCAACGCCGCGUGAGAGAUGAAGGUCUUCGGAUCGUAAAACUCUGUUAUUAGGGAAGAACAUAUGUGUAAGUAACUGUGCACAUCUUGACGGUACCUAAUCAGAAAGCCACGGCUAACUACGUG